rnacentral:rRNA from 1 species
GAUGAACGCUGGCGGCGUGCCUAAUACAUGCAAGUCGAACGAAGGUACUUCGGUACUUAGUGGCGAACGGGUGAGUAAUACGUAAGCAACCUGCCUAUGGGACUGGGAUAACGUUUGGAAACGGACGCUAAUACCGGAUAGGGUAGAGAGGAGGCAUCUCUUCUCUAUUAAAGUUUAGAUACACCGAUAGAUGGGCUUACGGCGCAUUAGCUGGUUGGUGAGGUAACGGCUCACCAAGGCGACGAUCAGUAGCCGACCUGAGAGGGUGAUCGGCCACAUUGGAACUGAGACACGGUCCAAACUCCUACGGGAGGCAGCAGUGGGGAAUAUUGCACAAUGGGCGAAAGCCUGAUGCAGCAACGCCGCGUGAGUGAAGAAGGUCUUCGGAUUGUAAAACUCUGUCCUUGGGGAAGAAGAACUGACGGUACCCUUGGAGGAAGCCCCGGCUAACUACGUG